rnacentral:rRNA from 1 species
CAAUGUUUUAAAUUUAAAAUUUUAAAAAUUUAAACUUGUUUCGGAUUUAGGAUUCAGGAUUUCGAGUUUUACGUGUAAUGUAGGUGGGGCACUCGGGGAACUGAAACAUCUCAGUACCCGAAGGAAAAUAAAACAAUAGUGAUAGCCCUAGUAGCGGCGAGCGAACGGGCCACAGUCUAAACUCAUGACGCAAGUUGUGAGGGUUGCGGGGCAGAUAAUAUGGGAUUUGUCGAGGAUAAAAAAACGCUUUGGAAAGAGCGGCCAUAGAAAGUGAUAGCCUUGUAUUUAAAAUCCGAGAUAACCCUAUUCUGUUCCCAAGUACUACGAGUCACGGCAAACCUUGUAGGAAUCCGGGUCGGUCACGACCCAAGACUAAAUACUCAAACUGACCGAUAGUGAACUAGUACCGUGAGGGAAAGGUGAAAAGAACCCAGAAAUGGGAGUGAAAUAGAAACUGAAACCAUUGGCUAACAAGCAGACAAAGUCUUGACGCAAGUCUUGAUACUGUCGUGCCUAUUGAAGAAUGAGUCAGCGAGUUUACGUUUACGGUUUGUUUAACCCCGAAAUAUUUGGGGGAAGACGUAGGGAAACCGAGUCCUAAUAGGGCGCUUUUAUCGUAAACGUAAGACCCGAAACUGUGUGAGCUAACCAUGGGCAGGAUGAUUCCCUCCGAAAGGAGGGAGGAGGUCCGAACCCGUUGUCGGUGAAAUGACAUGGGAGGACUUGUGGUUAGGGGUAAUAUGCCAAUCGAACACAGAGAUAGCUGGUUCUCCUCGAGAUAUAUUUAGGUAUAGCCUCUAGUUAACGUUACACGGGGUAGAGCUACUGGAUGGUCCCGAAAGAUUAAUUUCGAUCGGGAUCAACCAAACUCCUAAUACGUGUAAUUUAGUGCUAGGGAGUCAGUCGAGUCCGGAUAAGCGGAUUUCGGCGAAAGGGAAACAGCCCAGACUCUCGUCUGAGGUUCUAAAGUGGCUUUUAAGUGAAAAGGCCGUUUGAUUUCCAAUACAGCAGGUAGGUUGGCUCAGAAGCAGCCAUCCUUUACAGAGUGCGUAACAGCUCACCUGAAUAUUUCCAAUUUAUUGGAAUGGAGAUCUUGCGCCUAAAAUGAUCGGAGCUAAAGAGCCCACCGAAGACGGAGAUGCGAUCGCAAGAUCGCGUGGUAGAGGAGCUUCCUAUAAACAGUGAAGGCAAGAUUGUAAGAUCUGCUGGAGAUUAUAGGAGUGAGAAUGCUGACAUAAGUAGUGAAUCU